rnacentral:rRNA from 1 species
ACAUGCAAGUCGAGGGGCAGCAUGGUCUUAUCUUGCUAAGGCCGAUGGCGACCGGCGCACGGGUGAGUAACGCGUAUCCAACCUGCCUUACACUCUUGGACAGCCUUCUGAAAGGGAGAUUAAUACAAGAUGUUAUCAUGAGUAAGCAUUUUCGCAUGAUUAAAGGUUUACCGGAGAAAGAUGGGGAUGCGUUCCAUUAGAUAGUAAGCGGGGUAACGGCCCACCUAAUCUUCGAUGGAUAGGGGUUCUGAGAGGAAGGUCCCCCACAUUGGAACUGACACACGGUCCAAACUCCUACGGGAGGCAGCAGUGAGGAAUAUUGGUCAAUGAACAAGAGUCUGAACCACCCAAGUAGCGUGAAGGAUGAAGGUUCUAUGGAUUGUAAACUUCUUUUAUACGAGAAUAAACGGAUCCACGUGUGGAUUUUUGCAUGUACCGUAUGAAUAAGGAUCGGCUAACUCCGUGCCACCAGCCGCGGUAAUACGGAGGAUCCGAGCGUUAUCCGGAUUUAUUGGGUUUAAAGGGAGCGUAGAUGGGUUGUUAAGUCAGUUGUGAAAGUUUGCGGCUCAACCGCAAAAUUGCAAUUGAUACUGGCAGUCUUGACUACAGUUGAGGUAAGCGGAAUUCUUGGUGUAGCAGUGAAAUGCUUAGAUAUCACGAAGAACUCCGAUUGCGAAGGCAGCUUACUAACCUGUAACUGACAUUGAUGCUCGAAAGUGUGGGUAUCAAACAGGAUUAGAUACCCUGGUAGUCCACACGGUAAACGAUGAAUACUCGCUGUAGGCGAUAUACAGUCUGCGGCCAAGCGAAAGCAUUAAGUAUUCCACGUGGGGAGUACGCCGGCAACGGUGAAACUCAAAGGAAUUGACGGGGGCCCGCACAAGCGGAGGAACAUGUGGUUUAAUUCGAUGAUACGCGAGGAACCUUACCUGGGCUUAAAUUGCAACCGAAUAUGGCGGAAACGCUAUAGCUAGCAAUAGCGGUUGUGAAGGUGCUGCAUGGUUGUCGUCAGCUCGUGCCGUGAGGUGUCGGAUUAAGUGCCAUAACGAGCGCAACCCUUGUCGAUAGUUACUAACAGGUCAUGCUGAGGACUCUGUCGGGACUGCCAUCGUAAGAUGUGAGGAAGGUGGGGAUGAUGUCAAAUCAGCACGGCCCUUACGUCCGGGGCUACACACGUGUUACAAUGGGGGGUACAGAGGGCUGGUACCACGCAAGUGGAUGCCAAUCCCAAAAACCUUUCUCAGUUCGGAUUGAAGUCUGCAACCCGACUUCAUGAAGCUGGAUUCGCUAGUAAUCGCGCAUCAGCCACGGCGCGGUGAAUACGUUCCCGGGCCUUGUACACACCGCCCGUCAAGCCAUGGGAGCCGGGGGUACCUGAAGUGCGUAAACGCAAGGAGCGCCCUAGGGUAAAACUGGUGACUGGGGCUAAGUCA